rnacentral:rRNA from 1 species
AGAUUGAACGCUGGCGGCAGGCCUAACACAUGCAAGUCGAGCGGUAGAGAGGUGCUUGCAUCUCUUGAGAGCGGCGGACGGGUGAGUAAUGCCUAGGAAUCUGCCUAGUGGUGGGGGAUAACGUUCGGAGACGGACGCUAAUACCGCAUACGUCCUACGGGAGAAAGCGGGGACCUUCGGGCCUCGCGCCAUUAGAUGAGCCUAGGUCGGAUUAGCUAGUUGGUGAGGUAAUGGCUCACCGAAGGCGACGAUCCGUAACUGGUCUGAGAGGAUGAUCAGCCACACUGGAACUGAGA